GCUCAGGAUGAACGCUAGCGGCAGGCCUAACACAUGCAAGUCGAGGGGCAGCGAGGGGUAGCAAUACUCUGUCGGCGACCGGCAGAAGGGUGCGUAACGCGUGAGCAACUUGCCCGUCACAGGGGGAUAACCGGUGGAAACGCCGCCUAACACCCCGUAACACUUGGUGAGACAUCUUACUAAGUUGAAAAUCUUAGGAUGGUGACGGAUGGGCUCGCGUGACAUUAGAUAGAUGGUGGGGCAACGGCUCACCAUGUCGACGAUGUCUAGGGGUUCUGAGAGGAAGAUCCCCCACACUGGGACUGAGACACGGCCCAGACUCCUACGGGAGGCAGCAGUGAGGAAUAUUGGACAAUGGAGGGAACUCUGAUCCAGCCAUGCCGCGUGAAGGACUAAGGCCCUAUGGGUCGUAAACUUCUUUUUAUUGGGAGCAAUAAGGACUACGCGUAGUUCGAUGAGAGUACCAGUAGAAUAAGCAUCGGCUAACUCCGUGCCAGCAGCCGCGGUAAUACGGAGGAUGCGAGCGUUAUCCGGAUUUAUUGGGUUUAAAGGGUGCGUAGGCGGUUAUGUAAGCCAGCGGUGAAAUACCCACGCUCAACGUGGGGGCUGCCGUUGGAACUGUGUAACUAGAAUGCGGAUGACGUGGGAGGAAUGAGUGGUGUAGCGGGUGAAAUGCAUAGAUAUCACUCAAAACAUCGAUUGCGAAGGCAUCUCACGAAUCCGUUAUUUGACGCUGAGGGCACGAAAGCGCGGGUAGCGAACAGGAUUAGAUACCCUGGUAGUCCGCGCAGUAAACGAUGAUGGCUAACCGCCGGCGAUACACAGUCGGUGGCCAAGCGAAAGCGAUAAGCCAUCCACCUGGGGAGUACGACCGCAAGGUUGAAACUCAAAGGAAUUGACGGGGGCCCGCACAAGCGGAGGAACAUGUGGUUUAAUUCGAUGAUACGCGAGGAACCUUACCCGGGCUCGAACGGCAGAUGAAUACUUAAGAGAUUGAGUAGUCUUCGGACAUCUGUCGAGGUGCUGCAUGGUUGUCGUCAGCUCGUGCCGUGAGGUGUCGGCUUAAGUGCCAUAACGAGCGCAACCCUUGCCGCCAGUUGCCAGCAUGUAAUGAUGGGGACUCUGGGGGGACUGCCACCGCAAGGUGAGAGGAAGGGGGGGAUGACGUCAAAUCAGCACGGCCCCUACGUCCGGGGCGACACACGUGUUACAAUGGCAGGUACAGAGGGAAGCGACCUCGCGAGGGGGAGCAAAGCUCGAAAGCCUGUCUCAGUUCGGACUGGAGUCUGCAACCCGACUCCACGAAGCUGGAUUCAAAAGUAAUCGCGCAUCAGCCAUGGCGCGGUGAA
rnacentral:rRNA from 1 species